AGUGGCGCACGGGUGAGUAACGCGUAAGUAAUCUACCCUGGCAUCUGGGAUAACCCACCGAAAGGUGAGCUAAUACCGGAUACGUUGAUUUAUCAAGAAAGGUGGCCUCUAUUUAUAAGCUACUGUGCUGGGAGGAGCUUGCGUACCAUUAGCUAGUUGGUAGGGUAAAGGCCUACCAAGGCGACGAUGGUUAGCGGGUCUGAGAGGAUGAUCCGCCACACUGGAACUGGAACACGGACCAG
rnacentral:rRNA from 1 species